UACGUAGGUGGCGAGCGUUGUCCGGAAUUACUGGGUGUAAAGGGCGUGUAGGCGGGAAUGCAAGUCAGAUGUGAAAUUCCGAGGCUUAACCUCGGCGCUGCAUCUGAAACUGUGUUUCUUGAGUGCUGGAGAGGAAAGCGGAAUUCCUAGUGUAGCGGUGAAAUGCGUAGAUAUUAGGAGGAACACCAGUGGCGAAGGCGGCUUUCUGGACAGUAACUGACGCUGAGGCGCGAAAGCGUGGGGAGCAAACAGG
rnacentral:rRNA from 1 species